UACGGAGGGUGCAAGCGUUAUCCGGAUUUACUGGGUUUAAAGGGUGCGCAGGCGGAUAUGUAAGUCAGUGGUGAAAUCUCCGGGCUUAACCCGGAACUGCCGUUGAUACUAUAUAUCUUGAAUGCUGUGGAGGUAAGCAGAAUAUGUCAUGUAGCGGUGAAAUGCUUAGAUAUGACAUAGAAUACCUAUUGCGAAGGCAGCUUACUACGCAGAUAUUGACGCUCAUGCACGAAAGCGUGGGGAGCAAACAGG
rnacentral:rRNA from 1 species